UACUGGUUAUCUUAUCUCGGAUCCGAGCCCGAGAGAAAUGCCCGAAGGCGUCGUCGUCUUCCUAACCCUAGUCGCUGUGCUGUCGCCGCUGCUUCGGCUGAAAGCCAGCAAUGGCGCUUCUCGUCGUCUCCCGACGAUAAAGCAGUGAAGUUCUUUCACAACGACUAAGCUCUCGUGCGAACUUAUUUGCCAUCUUUCCAUCUUUCUUUCCUUCUUUGUUUUCACUUGCUCAGUCCUCAAUACGAGCAAGUAUAAAAUCGAUGCUGAUCUCUCUGUAAUCUUCCCCUUUUUUACUGCCACGGCGAUUGCAGAGAGAAUUUCGUUUCUGCUGUUCUUUCCCUCGCGGUUGCGAUCGGGUUUUGCCUCGUUUAUAAUCCCUAUGACGAUUUCGUUUUUCUUCAUAAAAGUAGUGGACUGACUUUUAUCUGAUGAAUCCAAACUCCGAGGGAUGCAUUUUGGGUCCUUGAUUGCAUCGAUUUGGGAUGCGCUUCAAGGUUUUUCAAUUGCAAAGGCUUAUCUUUUUUCGGUUCUUAUAUGUCCAGAUCUCCUAUAUUGAGCUCAUUCAUCACCUUGAUAUCUCUAGAUCAUGGAUUUCCUGUGAGGACUGUUGAAAUUUAAAGUAGUGGACUGACUACUCUUGAUGAUCAAAUUCGUUCCUGAGGAGAUGUUGCUUUUGAUACCAUGGUCCUUAAUGUUUUUUUUUUUUUUUUUUUUUGGUCUCAUCCUUUUGGUCGUCGCACUCGAUUUUCCUUCGUGAUGAUCGAAUUGCUCGACAUUCCUUUUAGAUGUCCACGGCUGCGGGGUUUUUUCGCAUCCCCGUGAUGGAUGUUGAUAGGACUGAUGUUUCCCUGACGAAUCUCUUGGUCUGAGGGAUGUGCUUUGGAUGAUACAUUCGGUCGGGUUCAUUUGACUGGGAGAGGGUACGAGGUACCUGUUCGUGGUUAAGGAUCCUAUUUACACCUCAUUUGUCCUUCUCUGUUGCCAAGUGAGAUGGACUUGGUUUUUUCACUUUCAUCUCAUUCAAGGGUACUUUCAUUUUUGCACUUUCCGUGCUUUCUUUUGUUGAAUUAAGUUCCAAUUCCAACCGCACAUUUCCCAUAUGCAAAAUUGAGUCUUUUUCGAUGCUUUCUAUGAGUAUGUUUAGAGGGUGAAGUCCGCAGGAUCUUGAUGAGUAUUACUUCGACCAUUAUUCAUUUUUCAUGUUCUUCUUUCUGAGGUGAGCUUCGGUGUUGUUAUUAGGUAUUGGGUACAUUUCUUAGAUUUUAUAUGAAUCAGCUGUUGUUGUUGUUGGAUUAUUUUGUUUAGUUUAAAUUCUCAAAAGUUGACUUACCUCUGGUUCAAAGACGAGAAUUAUGCAGGAAUAUAAAUUGAAUCACUAGCACUUAUGGACGAAUUUACAACUCUACAAUAGUCUGUCUAUGAUUUUGUUCCUCAAAGCAACAAUGGAAGCCUUCAUAUAAUGAGUUCUAUUUAUUUAUUUAUUUUUGCAUUAUCUUAUUAGAGGAGAACAUAUGCAUCUUGUAGAUAGCCCAGGAUGGGAAGUUUUUUUAACGUGAAUGAGAUGGUGGGAAUUUACAAAGAAAAAUACUGCUUCCACCUCUCCCCAUCACGGGUGAAAACUGGUCCCUCCUCUCCCCAUCAUGGGCGAAACUACUCAGAUAUUUCAGUUGUCAAAUUGUGGAGCUCAUAAAAAAGCUCAGGGAGCGUGCUUCCUCUCCGAGUGAUGUGCCGCAUCCCACUAUCACUGGAUCUUCAACGAGUAUUGUGCUAAAAUAGAUCCUCAUGGCAUUCCAUGACUUCAUUGCUUGAUCUGACCUGACUUGUGCAGAUUGGCAUUUUAGUCUCUUGUUGAGCAUGAAGAGUGUGAUGAUGUUGCAAUAGCAGUUCGGCUCACCCAAAGUUCCUUACAUUGUUCAUUGGGCAUGCUCACUGGAUGCAUUGUUGUGAGGUGAUUAUUAGUCCGACCAUAGCAUUCUGGAGAAUUGUCGCCCCAAAGUGAAGAAGCCUAAUGUAUUUCAGCUGCCAUCCACUCUAGAAGCAAGAAGUUUCAGUUUGGUGAACUGGAAAAUUUAGGAUAGCGCAUGUUGCAAUGUCUUCCUUUGAUGAUUUGAGCGAAAAUUCUCUCUUUGAUUGAAGGAUCUUGUGAAUGAUACAUACGGUGCAUUCAAUUUGAUUGACCCAGGGGAUAAAAAGUGUAUUAAUUUCCUUCUCUGCUUGCAUAUCUAACCGUGAUGCUUAAUCAAA